rfam:Thermobacillus composti KWC4, complete genome.
UCCGCCGCGAGGCGGAAUCUGAAGGAAGCCGUAGGCAAACGCACGGGCCAAGGUACACGAACUGGAUUCGAGGCAGGGCUAGUCGUCGGGGGCGCUGCCGGGUUCGAGGCGCAUGUCCGGCGGCAGAUCGAAGCCGGCGUC